rnacentral:rRNA from 1 species
CGGACCGUGUACAAGUCUCCUGGAAGGGAGCAUCGUAGAGGGUGACAAUCCCGUCUCUGACACGGAUCCCCGGUGCUAUGUGAUGCGCUCUCGACGAGUCGAGUUGUUUGGGAAUGCAGCUCAAAUCGGGUGGUAAACUCCAUCUAAAGCUAAAUACAGGCGAGAGACCGAUAGCGAACAAGUACCGUGAGGGAAAGAUGAAAAGAACUUUGGAAAGAGAGUUAAACAGUACGUGAAAUUGCUGGAAGGGAAACGCUUGACGUCAGUCGCGUCGUCCGGGGAUCAACCUCGCUUUUCGCUGGGCGUAUUUCCCGGUCGACGGGUCAGCAUCGAUUUCGACCGUCGUAGAAGGACGCGAGUGAAUGUGGCACUCCACGGGGUGUGUUAUAGCCUCGCGUAUGGAUGCGAUGGUCGGGAUCGAGGAACUCGGCACGACCCCUCGAGGGUUCGGGGCUUCGGUCCACGCGCGUGCCCAGGAUGCUGGCGUAAUGGCUUUAAGCGACCCGUCUUGAAACACGGACCAAGGAGUCUAACGUGCCUGCGAGUGUUCGGGUGCAAAACCCGAGCGCGCAACGAAAGUGAAAGUCGAGACCUCCGUCGUGGAGGGCACCGACGCCCGGACCGGAGCCUUUGGCGAUGGAUCUGCGGUAGAGCAUGUAUGUUGGGACCCGAAAGAUGGUGAACUAUGCCUGAAUAGGGCGAAGCCAGAGG